GAAAUGCGAUUUCGGGUGUCCCAAUUCAAAGUGUUCUCAUAAUGCGCCCUGCUGUUUCUGGAGCGUGCACCGCUGCCACGCUUCAUGGUCUCACAUAUAUAAAUAAAUAAUGGCGACCUCAAGUGGCGCAGAUCUCACAUGUAAAUACCUGGGCUGCAUAAAUAGUGAUGUGCAGGUAGGGGCGGGACCAUCUGGUGAUGCAACCAGGAAAUGCUCCGAAGAGUAGACUGUCCCAUUAACAACAGUUGACGCGGCCUGCAGGACGCACCGAAGUACACUCAUUGGGUGAGACCGCAAAGGGCGGGUCCUUGAAGUGUGCAGACCCUGGAUUGGGACACAGCCAGUGGGAACAGACUCUGAGUGUCUCCUGUCACUGAUCAUUUUAAUUAUUAGAAUAAUAUUUAGGGGCACCGCUUGGUUGGUAACACGUACGACCCAUGUGCCGAGGCUCUGCAGCAGACCCGAGUUCGACUCCCGGCCCGGGUCCCUUUGCUGCGCGUCACUCCCUCUCGCUUACCCUGUUUGCUGUCACACUCUUCAGCUGUACUAUCAAUAAAGCCAGAAAAAGGCCCAAAAAAAGAAUAAUAUUUAAUCUGGAGUUUAUUUCCUGCAAACAGACGAGACAACACGUUUCUUCAUAAACUUUAUUGUGUUUUUUUUUAAAUGAUUCCAGCAUUCGUGACAAUUAAAACAUUUUCAGACACUUUAAUGUUUCCUUCACAGACAGUUUCCAACACGUUUAACCUCAACUUCAUUUUCAACAACAUCAACACAGACAAUGACUCACGCGGAGCUCUGACAUGGAACAGAACACAAGUCCAGUAACUGAUCUGCCCUGCGACCUGAUGGUGCACAAAGUAAACUCGGCCCACGUCUCAGUGAGCCGAGAUUAACAACAAUCACAAUCACAAUGACAUCUGUGGAAAUCCAUUCCAGACAGAAAAAAGAUCAUUUUAGUCAGGAACCAUCAAAAGUUUGACUUCAUCAGCAGUGUUUUAUCUUUUAUUUUUGGUCUUUUCUCCCAAACUGUGAUUUUUCCAGGUGGACAGUUUAGUGACACAUUUUUCCUCACACUGAAAUAAGUCCAGAGACGUCAGUUUUCAAGUUGAACUAAAGUGAAACCAGCAGAGCCUCCAGGUUAACAGAGACGAGGACGGUGAAGAGCAGCACCUUGAACUCAAACACUGGCCUGCAGUCAGCAGCUGCUCGGCUCCUUAAGGCAACAGGUUUAAGGCCGACGGUGGCCGAGACAAAACAUGAACACGGGAGAAAUGCUGGUGUUUUAAAAAAAAAAA